ensembl:lncRNA
CGCACCCCUUUAUUAAAGGUGAACACAAUGGGUUUGGUUUACUUUUCGCAUCGGCCUGUGUCAAUCGAGGUUGAGUUUAGUGAGGGUUGAAAGUUUUCGAUCUAGAUUGCAGAUCACUAUUGUCACUUUAUAAAAACUGUAAGUAUGCGUUGUUGCGUGUUUGUUUUUGUGGGCAUUUGACUGAACAGCCCAGACAAAUAUUGCUACCAACAUGGCACUUCGAAACAGACCACCGCAGUGUUAGAUGACUGACAAGAUCUAUGGGGGGGCCCCCUUUGGGCCCCCCCAUACCAACUUAGUCUUCAAAGGAAUCUAGUGCCAUGGGACUCCAGUGUCUUCAAAACAUCCUCGGAAUACAUGUGUAUGAUUGGUCCACCGAUGGGUUGAUCUGGAAGCCACCACGGUCCACGCAGUAAUCUGCUGCGUGGGCUGUAGUGGCUUCCAGAGCCAUCUUUCGGUCUUGGUCAGGAUUUGUUACAGUUGCAAUGUAGCAGGCUACGGGUUUCUGAAGAAGCCUGCUUUACGUAGCAUUGGAGUACAAAUAUUGUGCAAAAAUGCUCAUGUAAUUGCACUAGCACUGGUAACCUGUAGAUUAGCUUAGUUUAAAGUCCUUCGGUGCUGUCUGUCAAAUGUGUGGCUUACUUUAAGUCCACAAGGCCCUCUGGUAAACCACGUUGGAACACCCCUGGACAAGGUGAUUAGUCACUGGGUGUGUGCUAAAGUUUUGUUCCAUUUUUCACUAGUUGGUUUAGGUUUGGUAGAAUUGUUUGGAUGCUAGCGACGUGAUGGCGUAUGUACAAGAGCCUACCGUGGCCAGGCCAGUUGCGACGGCCACGGCCAGGUGGCCUAGUGUGAGUGCAACCUUGAUUGCAUUUGUAUACUGUUUACCAUUGGAUGUUUAUGCAAUUUGGCUUAAUUCAUCCGCUGUAAAGCUGCAUUUGACUAUUCCAGGGUCGUUUUGUACAGGCUUUCAAUUUACCAUGUUGACUAGUUUGUGGGAUUUUUUUUUUUUUUUAUUUUAUUUUUACCCUUGCUUACAAUCAACGGUUGCGACCACUUAUGGAACUGGGCUGUGAACCUUGCAAUUCUAGUUGCAUAUUUGUGCACGUAAGCUCGUCCAUUUCUGUCGCCAUCACUAACACUAGCUUCAGCAUUUCCUUGUAGGCCAUUAGCUGACUUGUGUAUUGGAGCGAUGAUUUGGGUAUUUUAAGAUGCUUGAAAACCUAAAAUAAAGCAAAAUGCGUGUCUGGUGUGCAAGUGCCAAUUUGUUGGCUUGCAGUAGUCAAGGAGUUGCCGUAGGUCGUAAGCCAUCUGGAGGUUGUGGUAAUGGAGGCUUGUGGUAGAUCUGCCAUCCAAGAAAGGUUAAUUCUUCUGAAGCAUGAUUAAUAGUUUAGUAAAUUGAAUCUAUUCAUAUAGAACUAUAAAAUCCAAGACUGCAGAAAGAUAUUAAAGUCUUCUUCAUUUGUAACAACAGAAUAAUUAACAUGACUAACUGGGUUUCUUCCAUUUUCUAACUAGGGGGACUUGACUGGUGAGUCUACUGGAUUAAUCAGUAGCGGUACUUUGCCCAACAGAUUUGAUGGCAUGACUACAGGGUGACAAAGACAAUUAUUCCCUGCCUAUCAAAAGAGACUUCUAAAACAUAUCUGCUAGAACAGUUCCUAUACUUUUUGUAUAAUUUGGUCAUGCUGCAAAUUUACUUUUUGUAGUUGCUCCAUAUUUAGUUCUUUGACAGCCUCACCUGCUAGAAAAGUCUAUUCAAAUCGGUUAAAUAUAAUGAACUAAAUUAAUAGCCAUGAAAUGUUGUCACUCAUACUAAUGGCAAAUACCCUCUUUCAGUUGGUGGCUCAACACUGAUGUCUCUCUAGGCUUGAGGGAGAGCUCACAAGUAAAUUACACGAAUGUCCUGGAGCAAUUGGAAUACACUUUUAUUUAGUCUACCUGACCAGGGACAUCUUUGAACUAUAGGUCACCUAACCCAAACUUUUCACUCUUGUUAGGUUGUCCUUUUCUCUUGUUUUAACCCGAAAGGGCUGAAAAUAUCAACAUUUCAGGUAUUCUGUUUGGAUAAUGUGCAAAACUUGUGGCUUCACUAAUAAAAAAAAAUUAACGAAUGUAUUUUUCUUAAUGUGGUUAAACUAUUUAAAGAUUUGUAUGCAAAAUAUUUCUGCUCAAUUUGUGGUCAAUGAAACUCAAAAUUUUUAAUUUGAUAAAACACAACUAUGGGUUAAAGGUAUUUGGUUUGGGCAUCUUUUGAUAUUUUUAGAAUCUAGCUCCAUUGCCGUUAGAAAUGGUGUCUCCCAGUACUGCAAAGUGCUUCCACAAGUUUAAAAAAUGGGCAGAAAAGGAACUGCCAACUAAAUCUAUUUAACAUGGG